AUAUAUAUAUAGAUCCAUAUAUUGAACCAAAGUGAAUUCUAAGCUUUUUAUACAAUAGCAUGUAUGAUUUUGGAUAACUUCAAUACUCAUGCCUCCUUACAUUCAAACCCAAACAAUUUAUUUUCCAUGUAUGAAUGGACAACAAAAUGUCCAAACAUUUGUAAUAACCGGAUUUUUUUAUAAUUAAUCAAAAGCAAGGAACAUGAUCAUUUCAUUCUUUACCUUUCAUGAUGAUUGUCGAUUAGAGCACUAUGAAUUGUUGCCGACACUCGAUCGACCGACAGCAGAAACUUAAUUCCUUUCCUCUCUAUUUCUCUCUCGUUUCCUCUCGUCACAGUCGAAGAAACAAAACAGAGCUUUGUUCAUCGUGCUGCACCGUCCACCACAGACCACCAAACAACCUCAGACCACCUUCCACGGCUUCGCCUCGACCUUGCGCAGCUACCGGAGGUAACCUUGCGCGGCGGCACGACCGGCAGCGACGGCGGCGACCCCGAGUCCGGUUUAGCUCGUUUUCGUUCCAAACUCGAUAUCUCGAGCUACAGAGCACCAUUUCACUUGAUUCUUGGCUCAUUGAGCUCGCCUCAUCUUCCUAUACAAGCACCAAGAAGGAUCGGAACUGGAUUGAACGUUUUCACGUUCGUCGGAGCUCGACCCGUGCGGAUCGAACAACCAACCUUCGGAUCAAGAUAUCUCGAGCUAUACACGAUCGUUUCUUGUGAUUCUUGGCUUGUUGAGUUCAUAAGGAAGUUCUGAACAAUUCUCUAGAAGGAAUCGAAGCCUGAAAUUGAAGUUUUGACGUCGAAAUCAAGCCUUGCCGGAUUCUGCAAAAUUCUGGAAUUUUUCCGACCACCGAAGCUUUCGAUCGGUAUAUCUCGAGCUACAGACCAUAUUUUUCUGUGAUUCUUGAACCAGUGAGUUCUUCUUGAGUUUAUUAACAACUCUUCAGAAGGAAUCGAAGCCUUAAAUUGACGUUUUUACGUCGAAUUGGAGCUCGCCGUUUUCUGCAGUUUCUCGCCGGUUUCUGGAAAAUUCCGGCCACCUUCAUACUGUUCAAGGUGGUUGAUGGAUUGAUUGGUGAACGAUUUCGGAUCGUUGUUUUGAGCUGUUAAGAAGACGCAGCGGGAAUUUAGAGGUGAGUAAACCUCACGUGGUUCAUAUUACGAACCGAGUACCUUUAAUUACUUUAUUUUCUGUAGUAA